ACCAGAGAGAGGUCUCCCCAAAGGCAGUUCUACUUCCCGAAGGUUUGCAAGUAUGACAAGGAUGGCCCCUCUCUGGGUGACUCUGGGAGGUCCCGCUUCAGGACAUGGGUUUUAAUCUCCAGCUUGGAGAGCAGAGAAAGAAAAAUCCUUGGAGAGGAAAAGCCAGCUCAGCACAUGCCAAGCGUCGUGCUAGGUGUUUGCUUACGGUCCCUCACCUGUGAAAUAGGUGGUGCCAUCCUCCCCACCUGCUUGUCAUCAUCACCUCCAGUCUGGCCCCUUCCCUGCCACUGGGCCCACCAGGCCCUCCUCAGCCAGGCCACCCCAGGCCCCCAGUAUACCCACUGCUGGGCACAUCUGCCAGAUUCCCUCCUACCUCUCUCUGGGCUUCAGCUCUCGUCACUUACAGCCUACUCUUGCCAUCCACCAUCUUUAUUCAUUCAGCAUUUAUUUGGCACCUACUGAUGUGAGGCGCUGUGCAAGGCAAAACCCGUACAGCGAGGCCCCUUCAGGAGAGCCCAGUGUAGUGGUAGAGAUAAACAUCUAAUGACAGCACGAGGUGGCACGUGUCGUGUAUACAGACAUCACAACGGUCCUGGGGAUCACGUGUAUGUACACACGGCCAUCACAACAGUUCUGGAGGCUACACGCACCAAAACCAGGGUACCAGGGGCUCUUUUCCCCAAAGAGGUGCCAUUCUCUAUAACCCAUGUCUUCCAUUUUCUCUCAUCUAUAGAAAUGCUGAUGCGAGUAUUUCACAAGCCAGCCUGAAGGCCCAGCCAGAAGGACAGAGAAGCCCAGGGGAAAAUGAUAAGGGACCCCCAGAGCUAUGGGCACCAUGAGGUGGUCCUCGGACUGGUGCUGGGCUGGCUGAAAAGAAUUACCAGGAAAGCUUAAAAAUGCUGAUUUCUGGACCAUAUGUCCAAAGAUUCUAAUUCAGUGUGUCCAGGAAGGGGUUGGGAGCCUGUAUUUGUAAAAAUGUCCCUGAGUGAUCCUGUAAAAAGUGUGGCUAGGUUUGGGAACCACCCUCCUCAGAGUCUCCCUUCUUCCAGGAGGCCACCCCACCCACCCUGGGAGCACCGCCUCUCAGGAGGGCGUAAUUGUGACCUCUCCCACUGCGCUGGUCUGGGAGGCCGGCAGGUCAGUGAGAAAGACAAGGGUGGGAUGGAGGAGGGAAGCCAGACGGGGUGGGUGGCCUUGGGGUGUGUGGGUGACUCAGCCCCACGCCAUCCGCUGGUGGUGUCAGGUGGCAGCCCCACUCUUGUUGCCAUGACAACUCCUCCCGGAACGCAGGGAGGCCCGGUCAGACGGGUUUGUUUGUGCUCAGAGGAGCAGAAGGGGAGAGCCCAGGCCGUAGGGGAGGGCAGGGGCCGAGGCAGGCAGAGAGCAAACCCAGGAGAAUGGGCGGCUGCGGAGGGAACCUGCUUCAGGGAACAGUUCCACAAACUGUUCUGAGCCCCUCCUCCAUACAAGACGGCCUCCCUUACCCUGUAGGCAAUUUGAGAUGAGAAGACCCAGAUCCUGCUCUGGAGCAAAGAUACAUCUAUGAUACAUCAGGAAGACUGCGAUGCUCUGCUGAGUGAAUGUGAGUGAAGUGCCUGGAGUUCAAAGGAGGACACACAACGCUUCUCUUCCCUUUGUUUCCUUUUGUUUGCUACAGGGAAUACUUAAUAGGUGCUCGAUAAAUGUCGGCUGUGA